UUUUUUUUAUUUUUUUUACGCUUAUUGUCUUUGUUUUGAAAUUUACCUUUUAAAGAUGUUAUUUUUGUUGUUGGUAACCUCAAGAUUUACUUUUCGAAUAUGUUUUCUUGGUAAUCUCAAAAUUUACUCUUCGAAUAUGUUUUCUUACUGUUAAAGUGUUGAAAGUUCAAAAAUUAUUUUUGGUCUUCUAUAUUUGAGCCGAAAUUUUAGGUUUUGAAGGUUUUUCUUCUCUCUUUGUUGAAGAUUUGCUAUUCUAAUUUGUUAUUUGGUUAGUUAUUAGUUGGUGAUGAAUGGUAAGUGUUCGAACGUGUUAUUUUGUUCUUUGUGAACUGUGUUGUUUUCAUUUGACGUUAAAGCUGAAUGUUUAGAAUUUUAAUGUCCUUGUGGCUUUAUUUAUUACACUUAUUGUCUUUACUAAUUUUGUUGUUGGUGACCUCAAGAUUUAAUCUUGGAAGGCAUUUUCUUGUUGUUGAAGUGUUGGUAGUUCGAAAAUGCUUUUUAAUCUUCUAUACUUAAGUUGAAAAUUAGGCUUUGAAGGUUUUUUUCUCCAUUUUUUGGUUGAAAAUUUACAGUUUCAAUUUAUUAUUUGUUUUUUUUAUUAGUUGAUGAUGAAGAGUAAGGGUUCGAAUGUGUUAUUUUUUAUGUGUUAUUUUUUUCUCUAUGACUUGUAUUAUUUUUGUUUGAAGUUAAAGCUAAAUAUUUAGGAUUUUUAUGUCCUUGUGGUUUCAUUUCUUGCACUUAUUGUGUUUAAUCUCUCUGAGUAUUCAUUCAUUUCUUGAUCGCCUAAAAAUUCUUGUGUUUAUACUGAUUUUUUUGUUGUCCAAGUGCAUUUUACUUAUAGAAACAUACAUGCAACUUAUUGUCUUGGUAUUCACUUUCUAUAGUCGAAAAAUUACAUGCCAUCUCAUGAUUUCUAUGUCCAAUGUGCCUACAAGUGCAUCUUUUCGUCUUCUAUUUCAUAUUUAAGUUCAAGAUUUACCCUUUAAACCUGUUAUUUUUCUGUGAGGUUGAGAAUUAGUCUUCGAAGGCAGUUGAGACAGAAAAAUUAAUUGGUAGGUGCGACAAAAGUGAAGAAUCUGGAAUAAUUUAUCCAAAGGUAAGUAAAAUUUAAAUUCAAUUAGAAAUCUGAAUAUUUUUUUUUUACAUGUAUUUUUAUGCAUUUUUUUUCUUUAUGCCUAUGAGAUUAUGAGAGUAAGGCAUGUUUUUAUAGUUUCUUUGAAGCUCGAGAAUUCUUUCUUAGAUAAUGGAGAUUUUUUAUAGCAGGUUUGACCUAUAACUUAAUGCUUGUUUUUUUAUGACAACGCUAAGACUUGUCUUUAGUCCAUUAAUAUGAAUAUUACAAUAUUGCAUAUGUUGAGUGAUAUUUGGCAUUACAACGUUGAAAUUUAAUUCAGGAUCAUCUAUGCCAUUUGAUAUUAUUGUGGUUGAUAUGUCAACAUUUUAAAAUUUGUCUCACUGCUUCUUGAUAGUGUUGUCUAGUCCAUUAUUGCAUUUUUUUACUUCAUGAUUCUUCACGUUUUAAGAAAAAUUCUGAAUUUUGGUGCCUUUAUUCAAUCUGUUUGACUGUGGGUUUGAGAAAAUGAUUGUUCUAACCUAUUAAUUUCAUGUUGUUUAUCGACAUAGUUGUAACCAUUCUUCUUAGUAACUCAAGUUCUUGAAAUUCUUCAAUUUGAGUUAAUUAUGUUUCAUAAUUUAUUAAUCCAUUUUUUAUAUUUACAGUCUUUAUUUUUGGAUUGUGGUAUGUGAUCAUUGAUGUUUUGGCAGAUUAUCAACAUGAUUAUGUUCAGUUUAUCGAGUGGUCACCUACUUCCUCUCCCCAUGUCUUGCCUAUAGCUAAUUUUCAUUAGAGAUGGCAAUUUGAACCGUCAAAGCCGAAAAUCGCGGUUAACCGAACCGAAUGGGACGCAAAAAAUCGAAUUGAUGGUGCAAUGAGGCGGACAUGAUUUUUAUUUUAAUGAACCAGUUCGUGGCGGUGUGGGUAUGGUAUUUACUCCAUCGAACCGAAACCGAACCAAUUACCCGUUAAAAAAAAAAAAAAUUGAAUUGAUUAUUAGGAUUUACACUACUUUUCUAUAUAGCCAAAAAAAAAAAAAAAUCACCCCUCCCCCCAUUACAUCUACAUGACUCAGCCGGCCAACCCACUUACCAUUACCCUAUAAUAAUAGCAUUAGUACGACAGUAUAUAAAUGCAAACCCUACUCUUCACAAACCAUAAACUCAUGCACGGCUCCUUUUAUUAUUAAAUUUUUUCUAUUGUGUGUAAAAAUUACUUCAUCAUACUCUAGAGUUUGUGCAACGUUUAGCGAGAAGGAAGCUGACAAAGAGGUACAUUUUUUUUUAUUUAAAUCUUAGUUAAGACCAUUCUGAAAUAGGUAGUAUCGUUGUAUUCUCUACUUACAUUUCUUAUUUACUAUAUAGAAAUAAACUUGAGUGUUGAUUUAUGCUAGUAAGACUUUUGGGGACGAAUGAAUCAAGUAACUUCGAUGCACAACAAUUAAGAAUGAAG
rnacentral:lncRNA from 1 species